AACUUUACAAUGCGGGAAACCGUGAUAAGGGGACACCGAGUGCCAGCGUCAUACGCUGGCUGUCCAGGUGUGUAAAAUACACCUGUUAGCAAGGGCCGGGCAAGACCGGUGCCAGCCGCCGCGGUAACACCGGCGGCCCGAGUGGUGAUCGUGAUUAUUGGGUCUAAAGGGUCCGUAGCCGGUUUGGUCAGUCCUCCGGGAAAUCUGAUAGCUCAACUAUUAGGCUUUCGGGGGAUACUGCCAGGCUUGGAACCGGGAGAGGUAAGAGGUACUACAGGGGUAGGAGUGAAAUCUUGUAAUCCCUGUGGGACCACCUGUGGCGAAGGCGUCUUACCAGAACGGGUUCGACGGUGAGGGACGAAAGCUGGGGGCACGAACCGGAUUAGAUACCCGGGUAGUCCCAGCCGUAAACGAUGCUCGCUAGGUGUCAGGCAUGGCGCGACCGUGUCUGGUGCCGCAGGG
rnacentral:rRNA from 1 species